rnacentral:lncRNA from 1 species
CCCUCUGCCCCCGCCCCGUGCUCUGCUGAGGCUGUAAAUAAUCGGGGCUGCCAGGGACGUGGGUCGGGGAACCUGGAGUGUCGCGGGGUGCCUGUGCCUCCGAGCCCCACUGGCCCCUGCGCCCAGAGACGCACUGGCUUUCUUCUCCCGCUGGCCCCGCGGCGUCAGGACAGAGGAUGACCGAACCGUAAAACCUUGCACCAUUGGGUUCAGCCUUUGGCCUCUCCUUUCCCGCUAAAUUUCUCUGAAUCCGGCUGGAGCAAGAUCUCUGGGUUUCACAGGAUGUUGGAUAUCCUGGGAGAGGAGCUGGAGAGAGGGCGAGGUCUUGCCCUGGGUGGCGCAGUGCCUCCGUGCCCACAGUGGGGAGUGAGGGGUGGGGAGUUGGUGAAUCUUCCAAGUGGAAAGAGGGAGAGCUCAUUCUUUUUCCCCUCAAUAACAAGUCCACAUGGCUUGAAUGAAUUUUAGCUUCUUGGCAGAACAGCUCAGGGAAAGCUACUGAUGGCCUGUCAUAGGGCUGGCAUUUGGCUCAGCUAACCCAUGUGUUCAAGCCAGUGUGAAUGGGCACCUCUCUCCACACACAUGCUCAUUCAUCCUCCUAAAUAUCCUUCCAUCCGCCCAUCCAUCUAUCCACCCAUCUUUCCUUAUGUCCUUCUGGGGCUCUCACAUCCAUCCAUCCUCCUGUCCAUCCACUAACCACUUAGGUCCAUCUAUCAUCCCACUCAUUCAUUCAUCCAACCACACACCUUUUAAUUUAUUCAACCACCUAUUCUUCUAUUCAUCUUCCCAUACAACUUCUCAUCCAUCAUUCCACACUUCCUUUUUCACAUCUCUUCAUAAAACCACAACCAUCCACCAUCCUCUUCUCCACCCAUCCACCCACAUAUCUGUUUAUUGAUAUAUCCACUCAUUUCCCAUCUGUCCAAGAUCAACAUAUCCACCUAUCAUUUUAUCCAUUCUCUCAUCCACCCAUACGUUCAUCUAUUAUUUUUGCCCCCAUUAUCCUCCUUUCUGUGUAAACAUUAAUUCAUUUUCUCCCAUCUUUCCUACCCAGCAGAUCUUAAAGAGAGGAAGAGUUUGUAAUAUUCUUCAGGGGAAGCCUUUUGAGAUUGAAAUAUCAUACUUUGAAUGAUAACUCUAUAUCUAUCUAUAAUAUACUAUGGUUUAAUGUUUGGAAAUCAAACGCAGUAUUUAUUUGUCAUGUGAACUACUAAAAGUAAAUCUGCAUGGACUUCUUGCCUGGUGAGUUACACAGAAAAUGAAAGUGAUUAUCAGUGGCUGUGGCAAGAUGAAAGGAACCAUGCCAGGACUUCUGAGGGAAGGAAGAGUGUUUGGGACUGAAAAAUCCUUGUCUGGAUCUAGUCCUCAGCCACUCAGAAGCUGGCAUGCCAUGACUCAAAGAGCCGCCCGUCUGGAAUGAAGACAGUGACCCGUAACUCCCACCUGAAGAGCAGGUGCUUGGAAAAUGCUGCCAGUCCGCAGGAAAAAGUUGUUACUGCUGCUGUCUGUGACCAAGAGGACACUUUAUUUCUUGAAACAACUGGGGGCAAACUGGCUCCCAGAUAAGGCUUCAGUCCCUACUCAUGUGAGGAAACCAGCCCUGCACCUGAGAGUUUAUUCAGUGACGAUAAUACUCACAAGACCCUUUUUGGAUUUGUGGCCCAACCCACAAGUUAUAGUUCCUUCUCUGAAUAUUUCAUCCAGAUUGUGAAGAGCAGCUUCUGGCAGCCACAGUUGUACUAUGUGACCCCUACUUCCCAUGCCCAGGACUGAUUCGACCCCGUAGUAGACACCUAAAGCAAUCCUGAUCAGUCAGAGUCUUUGUUCCUGACAUUUGGGAUUAGAGCAUGGCUGAAGGUUUAAGACACAAACUUGGAAGCUGUGGGGCAGCAAUACACCUCCAUGAGGACAGAGAAGCAGGGGAAAUAAGAAUAAACCAGAAGCUCACAGAAACGCAGGAAAUACUUCUAGAGUUCUAACACUUUUCGGGUUUCUUGUUCUAGUCCAUUCUUGACACACUUGUGCCUCACAGAAGCCAAUGGCAAGAAUGCAGUCAGAUCCUUCCAAUAAAUUCCUUUUAUUCUGUUUACAUUAGCAUAAGCUGGUUUCCGUUGCAACCAAAAAGACUUGAUGAAUAUAGGAGAGCAUCACACCAUUUUACAAAAGAGUAAACAGUGGCUCAAGUGGAUGGCGGAUGCCCCUACCACUGGGUCUUGAAUUCAGGACUUUGACUCUAAAUCUUAGGUCUUCUGAUUCUGAGGUCUGUGCUCUUUUCACCAGUUGGCCUCACCUAUAAUCCCUCCCCACAUCAUCCCAUUCUACCCAAAGAAUACAGUUCUCUCUCCUUCGUUGUGAUAGAAACUAGACAUCUCUGAUACUUUGCCUACAGUUGUAUGUCAAUCCAAAUGAGUGGCAGGUCUUCCGAGUCCCAUCCUCCCAGAUCUUCUCCAGAGAGCCCCUGUCUGCCUGAACAUGCCUCACAGUCUAUUUUCAAAGGGCAAAACCUUUCAUCUGGCAGAUGGUAACAGCUGCUUCUCUUUAAAACACCCAAAGGGUAGAAAUUCUGGGCUCUAACGUACAGGCAUAAGGCUCCUGCCAAGUCCUGACUGGGCUUAGCAUCAAAUCCUGUAGAAAAGGAAUAGGUACAGAACAUGGAUGUGAGGCCAGGCCAAAACGCAUUUUAUUGCUGGCUACUGUUUCCCAGCCACAGAAGAAUGCUGCUGUAGAAGGCAUGGCGUGGGUGAGAAAGAGACUUGUUGAACUGAACUUUAAUGGGAGAGGAUGUGGGGAGGGUGGGCUAGGGAGAGAGAAAGGAAGAGACGUCUUGAGAGAGCUUAUGAAGGUGAAAGAAGGCAAAAGACACAGAUGUGACUCCAUGAUGAAGCAAUGGAAAAUAAAAGUCUUUUAAUCAUCCAAUGGGAAUUUAAUGGACACCUUCUGUAUGCACUACAUGGAUUCGCCACAGAGGACAAGCCACAGAUGAGGAGGACCUGCCCUCUCUCUUCAGAGACUAUGAUCUAGAUCAGAGUUGGCAGAUCAGUUGCCUUCAUUAGUUUAAGAACUAUUUUGUAUGCACCUCUAUAUUCCAGGCACUACUCUAAAUUCCAAAAAUACAACAGCACAAAAAGACAGACUGGCAUUUUAUUAUCAUCGAGGAAGUGGGUGGAGGGUGCAGGCAAUUUUAAUAAGGUAGACUAGGAAGGUCUGGGUGAAGAGGUAACAUUUCAGGCAAAUUUACAUGAAAAAAAAAGUGCAAAGCAAAUGUAAAGGCUUUGAGAUUGGAGUAUUUUUAGUGUGUUUGAGGAACCAAAAAGGUUAAUGUGGAUGGAGCAGAGUGAAUGAGAAAGCAAGUAGUAGGAAAUGAGAUUGAAGAGGAAGGUAAAGCCAGCUCUUGUGCACCCUUGCAGGCCCCAGUAAGAAGUUUGGAUUUUAUGCCGAGUGGAAUGGA